CCCAGACUCCUACGGGAGGCAGCAGUGGGGGAUAUUGCACAAUGGGGGAAACCCUGAUGCAGCGACGCCGCGUGUGGGAAGACGGUCCUCUGGAUUGUAAACCACUGUCCCCAGGGACGAAGAUGACGGUACCUGGGGAGGAAGCACCGGCUAACUCCGUGCCAGCAGCCGCGGUAAUACGGGGGGGGCAAGCGUUGUCCGGAAUCAUUGGGCGUAAAGCGUUCGUAGGCGGUAUGUCAAGUCUGAUGUUAAAGCCCGGGGCUCAACUCCGGUUCGGCAUUGGAUACUGGCAAACUAGAAUGUGGUAGAGGUAAGGGGAAUUCCUGGUGUAGCGGUGAAAUGCGUAGAUAUCAGGAGGAACAUCGGUGGCGAAAGCGCUUUACUGGACCAUUAUUGACGCUGAGGAACGAAAGCCGGGGGAGCAAAUGGGAUUAGAUACCCGGGUA
rnacentral:rRNA from 1 species